AGCAGCCGCGGUAAUUCCAGCUCCAAUAGCGUAUACUAAAGUUGUUGCAGUUAAAAGCUCGUAGUUGAAUUUCGGGAUCAAUUAAUUGGUCGUGCCUAUGGUACGUACUGAUUUUAUUGGUUUCUCCCUUCUGACGAACCAUGAUGUCAUUAAUUUGGUGUCGUGGAGAAUCAGGACUGUUACUUUGAAAAAAUUAGAGUGUUUAAAGCAGGCUAACGCUUGAAUACAUUAGCAUGGAAUAAUGAAAUAGGACGUUUGAUCCUAUUUUGUUGGUUUCUAGGAUCGACGUAAUGAUUAAUAGGGAUAGUUGGGGGCAUUAGUAUUCAAUUGUCAGAGGUGAAAUUCUUGGAUUUAUUGAAGACUAACUACUGCGAAAGCAUUUGCCAAGGAUGUUUUCAUUAAUCAAGAACGAAAGUUAGGGGAUCGAAGACGAUCAGAUACCGUCGUAGUCUUAACCAUAAACUAUGCCGACUAGGGAUCGGAUGAUGUUAAUUUUAUAAUGACUCAUUCGGCACCUUAC
rnacentral:rRNA from 1 species